rnacentral:rRNA from 1 species
UUCGCAAUGCCCGAAAGGGUGACGAAGCGACGCCGCGUGGGUGAGGAAGGCCCUCGGGUUGUAAAGCCCUGUCAGGAGUUAAGAAAUGUAAGUGUGUUAAUACCACAUUUAUUUGACGAAGGCUCCAAAGGAAGCCACGGCUAACUCUGUGCCAGCAGCCGCGGUAAUACAGAGGUGGCAAGCGUUGUUCGGAAUUAUUGGGCGUAAAGAGCACGUAGGUGGGUUUGUAAGUCAGAUGUGAAAGCCUUCUGUUCAACGGAAGAAUUGCAUCUGAAACUGCGAAUCUUGAGUGUAGGAGGGGAGAAUGGAACUUCUGGUGGAGCGGUGAAAUGCGUAGAUAUCAGAAGGAACGCCGGCGGCGAAAGCGAUUCUCUGGCCUAUUACUGACACUGAGUGUGCGAAAGUUAGGGGAGCAAACGGGAUUAGAUACCCCGGUAGUCCUAACUGUAAACGAUGGGCACUAAGUAGAGGGGUUUU